GAAAGUAAAAAGAUUUAUUAGGUUUCUUGAUUACUGAGCUCUAAAAUAUGCACACAUCGCCCGUCGCUCUCGUGAUAAAAUGAGAUAAGUCGUAACAUAGUAGAUGUAUUGGAAAAUGUAUCUAGAAAGUC
rnacentral:rRNA from 1 species